ensembl:lncRNA LINC02347 long intergenic non-protein coding RNA 2347
GAAUACCAGGGGUGGGCACUGUCAAGAGACCCAGCUUUGACUUCAAAUGCCACCCAGAGGGACAACUGCUCACUUUCAGAGCAGGAGCAGGAGGCCAGAGGAGAGUGGGUCCCUAUGAUCCAGACCUCAAGAGAGGGUUCCUGGACCUCCCACAGAAAGGGAUUCAAGCUGAAACUGAUUAGAGCCAAGAUAGCCAACCAAAUGACUUCAGGAAGACCUCAGGCUUCAUUAUCAUCUCAUUUCCAUGCUAAAAAAACCCAGCUCCCUAGAACAAUGGGAAAUAUUGGGCACUUCAUCAGGCGAGUUCAGGUGCAUUUCUAGAGAUUGUCCAGGUGCUGGUAACAAUAAUAGAGAACCAUCCAUAUCCACAAGAGGCAGAACCUCUUCCAGCAAAAUGGUGCUGCCUCACCCAAAGGUAUCACUAAGCAUAUAGAUUAUAGAAGCCUGAGAUGGUGAGUGGAAUCUGAAAAUGAAAUCUAACAUUUACCAAAGAUACAGAGAAGGAGGAAGAGACUGGAUUCGUUGUUCCGGCCCCUGAGUCUAGUCAGUCAGUUCUACUCUUGGGCUUUGUAGUUCUGUUCAUCAGUGAACUCUUCUGUUUUGUUGAAACCAGUUGGAGAAGGGUUUCCAGAAACCUGCACUUGAAGAGCAUCAGCUGGCACAGAGAUCUUGGCUGAACCCACUGCUGUGUUUGACUAGGAAUGAGAGUGGGCACACGGAGAGGGCAGCCCACCAGGCAGGUGUGUCUCACAUCACUGGGGAGCCCUUUUCAUUCAAAGAUGACCAGCUUAUAAAAGAUCAGUGAUGGGAAGUCCCAGGUAGGGCCCCCAGGACCUACAGCAGGGGCCAGCAAAGAAUGGUCAGCCGUCUCUCUACUGGGUCAGAAAGAAAUAAUGAAAGGGGCUGAACUUGGCCAUGUGAGCUGUCCAGCAUGGAUGCCAGACCAGACCAAAAUCCAGAUUCAGACAGCUGCUCCCUAUAGCAGGGGAAACCCCAAACACAGACAAGACAAAGCAGCAGAGCAACUUCCUUACCCAGACCACUGGCAGUCCCAAUCCUUCUCCACCCCUCAGGUUGCCUGGUUACUGGACAUGCGGACAUUCACUUUGAUUAUGCUCCAUUCGAGAAUGCUAGAAUGAAAAUGUGGGUAAAUGGUGAAGGAAUUCAAGGAAAAGAAAAUGCACCCACCAUGUUUAUGUUAUAA